rnacentral:rRNA from 1 species
UACGUAGGGCGCAAGCGUUAUCCGGAAUUAUUGGGCGUAAAGAGCUCGUAGGCGGUUUGUCGCGUCUGCCGUGAAAGUCCGGGGCUCAACUCCGGAUCUGCGGUGGGUACGGGCAGACUAGAGUGAUGUAGGGGGAGACUGGAAUUCCUGGUGUAGCGGUGAAAUGCGCAGAUAUCGGGAGGAACACCAGUAGCGAAGGCGGCACUCUGGGCCGGUACUGACGCUGAGGAGCGAAAGCGUGGGGAGCAAACAGG